rnacentral:rRNA from 1 species
UACGAAGGGGGGCUAGCGUUGCUCGGAAUUACUGGGCGUAAAGCGCACGUAGGCGGCUUUCUAAGUCGGGGGUGAAAUCCUGGAGCUCAACUCCAGAACUGCCUUCGAUACUGGAAAGCUCGAGCCGGGAGAGGUGAGUGGAACUGCGAGUGUAGAGGUGAAAUUCGUAGAUAUUCGCAAGAACACCAGUGGCGAAGGCGGCUCACUGGCCCGGUACUGACGCUGAGGUGCGAAAGCGUGGG